CUCGAUGUCGGCUCAUCACAUCCUGGGGCUGUAGCAGGUCCCAAGGGAUCGGCUGUUCGCCGAUUAAAGUGGUACGUGAGCUGGGUUUAGAACGUCGUGAGACAGUUCGGUCCCUAUCUGCCAUGCGUGUAGGAUAUUUGAGAGGAUCUGUCCCUAGUACGAGAGGACCGGGAUGGACGUACCUCUGGUGUACCAGUUGUUUCGCCAGAAGCAUCGCUGGGUAGCUAAGUACGGAAGGGAUAACCGCUGAAAGCAUCUAAGCGGGAAGCCCACCUCAAAACUAGGUUUCCCUGAGAGCCGUGGAAGACCACCACGUUGAUAGGCCGGGUGUAGAAGCGCAGUAAUGUGUGAAGCUAACCGGUACUAAUAGCUCGAUCGACUUUAGAUCUCUC
rnacentral:rRNA from 1 species